rnacentral:misc_RNA from 1 species
UCUAAGGAUGAAUGAAAGUCAAAUUUCAUUCUAAAUAAUAUACAUCGGUAAUGUUGACCGUCCUCAUUUCUCUUCUUAAAGUAAUGUUUCCUUCUUGUAGGGCCGGUAGCUCAGUUGGUUAGAGCACACCCUUGAUAAGGGUGGGGUCGAAAGUUCGAGUCUUUCUCGGCCCACCACACUUAACUGGGGGAUUAGCUCAGCUGGGAGAGCGCCUGAUUUGCAUUCAGGAGGUCAGCGGUUCGAUCCCGCUAUCCUCCACCAGGAAACAUUUAGUUAUAAAAACUGUAAAUAAAUUUAAUAAUUAAUAUCAAUAUCUAUAUCCGAACAUUAGUAAUGUUAUUAGCUAAUGUUCAAAAUAAAAAUUUGAUCACAACAUAGAUAAUUUUUCUUUUAAAAAGAAUUUUUUUCUGUGCAUAAAUCAAGCGUUUAAGGGCGUGUAGUGGAUGCCUUGGCACUGAAAGCCGAUGAAGGACGUGAUAUACUGCGAUAAGUUUCGGGGGAGCUGUAUGUAAGUUUUGAUCCGAAAAUUUCCGAAUGGGGGCAACCAUCACUAGU